rnacentral:lncRNA from 1 species
GUUGCAUAUUAGUGCUCCACACUCCAGUCCAGUUGGUGGCGGUAAAUGCACCAGAAGUUGGUUUGCCAUCCGCCAUAAAACGUUAUUAGAAGAAGAAGAAGAAGUCUUGGGGUCUUGUUUCAUGUGUUUCUGGGAUACUGGCGGACUGACUGUGCUCUGAAUGUCAUGGCGACCAACAGCGAGCAACUUUCCCGAGGUUUCGUAAUCGAUACAAAUCAAGAAAUCCACAACACAGAGUGAAAACACAAGGUCAACACAUUUUUUGUCCGAUUUACAGACUACAGAAAUCAUCACCAAAACUAAGAUUGGGAUUCAGUUUUUGAAAUGGAGUGUGCAGUAAACACUGGUCCUGAUGAUGAGCCAUCUGAUACUGCUGUUGCGUAUGAGGUCAUUACUGUAAAGGAUGAAAGUGAGACCCCAAAAAAGAAAAACAAGAAACAUAAGAAACACAAAAGUAAGAAGAAACGUAAGAAGCGUAAGGGUGAAAAGGAUAGUAGCUCUGAAUCUGGAGUAGACUCAGAUGGCGAUUCCCAAACAAGAACAAGUGUGAAUAAAGAUGGCUCAUCUAACCCUGAGGCUGAUGAUCAUGCGAAUGCCACAAAAAACUGUACAGAGGACCUCAGUGAUGUGGAAGCUGAUGCCAAGGUUAAAAAGCAGAAACAUCGUGUUGGGAAAAAGAAGAAAAAAAGAAGGCGGAAAGAGGAGGAAAAGCAGGAAAAAAAGUCCUCAUCUCGCUCAAGAUCGGCGAGUACCUCAGUGUCAGGGUCAGAAUCAGAACCUGACUCCAAACAAUCACAAAAAUUGCAGGUAGCAUCUUUAAAGGUGGACAGAAAGUCACCUAUCAGUAUCACUGCAGCUACAUUUCCAAAAGACAAAUUUAAAGAUAGCACACUUUUAUUGGAAGAUAAAAAGAGAGAAAUGACUUCUGAUCACACCGAAGAAGAAGAAAGUUUAAAAUUAGGAGGGAUAAGAAAGAUGUCUCCUGAGACUGCACAUGCAAUAAUUGCAGAGAGGGACAUAAAGGUGGAAGCUGUUGGCGAACAUGAAAAUUUUAGUAAAGCUCAAGAACUUCCUGAUAUUAUCCCUAAGCAAGAGAAUGUGCACAAAGAGCAAGCUGUGCAGAAGGACAUCUCAAAGGAAUCAAAUGGGAAUCAGAAAGAAAAGAAAAAACAGUCCCUCUCCAGGUCAAGGUCACGAUCACUUUCAGACACUAAAGGGAAAAAUUCCAAACACAGUCGCUCUAGAACUCCAAAGAAGUCAUCUGGUAAAUCAGGACGUCAUAAUGACAGAUCAUCUUCAAGGGACAGGUCUGUGUCUGCCUCUGGUGGGAAGGAUCGAACAAAACGAAGAAGCUCUAGGUCUCCAUCAAGACGGUCACCGUCUAAAGUAACAAAGAAAACUGGACGGAGGUCAAGGUCACUCUCUGGAAGAAGAGCAUAUUGCUCUGACUCAAGGUCCCGCACAAGGACCAAAAGAUCCAGGACCAGGUCUCCCCUACGGGGUCAUCGUUCAAGAUCUAGGUCAACUGGAAGACCAAGACAUUCACGCUCAAGAUCAAAACAAUCUAUUUCUCUGCGGAAGAAUCGGCGCUCAAGGUCACAGUCCAGAUCUGUGCAGAGAGGAAGACACUCAAGGUCCCGCUCUCGAAAGAAGACACCUCCUCGAGCAAGGCGUUCCAGGUCUAGAUCUGUCAGAAGAGCAAGGCGAACACGCUCAAGAUCCAUUUUGAUCCUUAGGCGUUCUAGAUCCUGCUUGAAAAGAAACAGAAGAUCGAAAUCUGCUCACAGACGAUCAGGUUCAAGAAGCCCAAGACGUCUAAGUAAGUCUCGGUCCCCUCAAUGCCCCAGGCCCUCUGAGUCCCGUUCUCCUGCAGCUCGUCAAAGGAGGUCAAAAACUAGGAGCCCUCAUAGCACAAAGUCCGAGUCAGCAUCUCCUCAACGACGUAAAAGAUCAAAGUCACGGACAUCUUCACAUAAUUCAAAGUCUGAAUCCCCAAUAUUAAGAAAAACUAAAAAGCAAAAAGGUAAACGGUCAAGGUCAGUUUCUCAGAGACGCACAUCAAGAUCAAGAUCCAUUUCCAGGGAGCGACAGUCAUCAGAUAGAAGCAUAUCCCCUACCAAGCGAGCACACUCUAAAUCUCCGACUAAAGAAGAAAAGUCCUUAAAGGAUAAGAGUUCAAAAGAAACCUCAGAGACUAAACCGCAAGUUUUAGAUCCUGUGGAGGAAAAUUUAGAAAUAAAAGAGUCAGCAGGGUCAAGUAGAUGGAAACCAGUGUCUACUGAAUGUGCAUCUGUGCAAAAUCCAUCAAAUGAAGACGUAAGAUCAUCAGAAUGUGACAUACAAAGUAAAAACAUCAAGCAAGAGCCCGAAAAUCCCUCUGAAUGUGAAGGAAGACCAAACCAAUCCAGAUCUUUGUCCUCAGAGCCAGUUCCUCAACAUGUUACUGUAAGGUCAGAUGAAGAUGAUCGCUCAGGGAGCUCACGAUCAGCUUCACAGAGUAAAGUAAAAGAAUCAACAUCCUCCAACAGAACAUCACCUGUUAGAAGAAAGCGCUCCAGAUCGGCUUCAUUCACACAGAAAAGGCGAUCCAAGUCAAAAUCUGUCAGUAGCAAGAGGAGGUCAAGAUCUCCUGUAAGAAAACGCAAGUCCAGGUCUCCCUCACAUAGUCGUAAAAAGAGGACGAAAUCUCGGUCACCUGUUCGGAAAAGAAGAUCAAGAUCAACCAAUCGAAGGGCAAAAUCACGAUCGAAAUCUCACACAAGAAACAAGCGCUCAAAAUCAAAAUCCCCCAAGCGGAAACGGUCAAAGUCUAGAUCGCCAGCUCGAAAAAGAAGGUCCAAAUCGCGUUCUCCUGCUAGAAAGAGAAGAUCUCGUUCAUGGUCAAGGGCUCGUCAGUCACGAUCCAGAAGGUCACGCUCUAUUUCACGUCGGAGAAGACCAGCAUUUCGUGGAAGAUCUUUUGAUAGACGAGAUCGAUGGAAACGUGAACCAAGCCAUUCACCAAUUUUGAUUCUCCGUAAGAGGAGGUCCACCUCAAGAUCUCGACGCAGUUCUAGCAAGACGCCACCACGUCUCACUGACCUAGAUAAAGAUCAACUUUUGGAGAUUGCGAAGGCUAAUGCUGCUGCAAUGUGCGCUAAAGCCGGAAUGCCCAUACCUGAAAGUCUCAAGCCUAAGGCAAUUCUACAGUUACCUCUGCCAACCCCAGCUCCAGCCCCCUUGUCUUUGCCUCUGCCACUUCCUGUGCCCAAUUUACCUAUGAAUCUGCCCAUGGGUAUACCAGGUAUGCCUGCAAUGCCAAACAUGACAAUGAAUGCUGCCAUGGCAAGUAUGACUGCGGCGACAAUGACUGCUGCUCUCUCCAACAUGGGUGCUCUGGCAUCUAUGCCCCCGAUGCCCCCACUUCCUACCAUUACCAACAAGCCCCCUUCAGCACCCACACCUAAUCUGGCCAGUAUUGAGGAGGUGAAGAGGAAAGUGGCUCAACAAGCUAACAGCAUCAGCAUCAAGGAGUUUACAGAGAAAUGUAAACAGAUUGCAGAGAGUAAGGAGGAGAUGAGAAUUGCACGGCCACAUGUUUCAGAUGAUGAUGAUGAUGAGACACGGUAACCCACUGUCCUUCUGCUGCAUCUCGUAUAUAGCCCUGAUGAUGGACACCUUUGUCUAGUAUUUGGGAUGAAAUCUGCCAGAGGAUUGCAUCCAUCAUGUAAAUUAAUCUUUGGUUUGCUCACAGGAGAAGGGCAUUUGAGCAUCUGGACACUUGAAGCUACAUUGUUUUCAGUUAUCUUUAAAUUGUCAGUUGUUGGAACAGCGACAAGCUACAGGAACCUUUUUUUUACCUUAGACCACAAACUACCAGAUUGGACCAUUCAGUAUGACUAAAAGUAGAACAAAGGGGUAAAGUGUUGAACAGACAUACUACCUGCCAGACUGACAGUGAAAUGCUUCGCUUUCAGGCUUGUUUUUACCUUUACUACAUACGGUGCCUCUUGAUACCAUGAAGAAGGACCUCUGGUAGAUUUAAUUCAGAUUUAUAGGUUUACCUAAAAGAAAAAACAGAUUUUGGUGUGUAGUUUAGAUCACAGGUCAGGUCUGUUGGUACACACUUUCAGAGCUUUCUGUUAACACAGAGACAUGAUCAUUUUAGGAGUAUUUUUCCCCCCCGUCUUUUUAAAAUUAAUGAAGUGUUAAUCACUUGUUUAAAUACAUUGAUGAAGAUAAUUGUUUUUGUUCAUUAACACUUUUGUGAACUUUUAAAGCAAAUUAAAUGUUGAGUUUCAGAGUUGUGGCUGUAAUUGAGUGCUGUACUUAACAGAUGAUGUUUGCAUUGAUGUGCAUUGUAAGGGUUCUGACCACAUACUUUCUUUUAGUUAUAUUGGUUAAACCUUGCUGUGCUGCUUGAUGGUAACUGACAUUGUGGUCUGGCUUUAUCUAAAAAAAAAAAUCACAGAGAAUGACACUCAUUGAUGAGAUUAAAGGUUUCUUUUCUCAUUUUUAGUCUAUCAAAUAGUGCAUCCUUGUAUACGACAGACCAUGAUGCAGUUGUGUGUGUAUACAAUGCUGUUUCAUCUUUGUGACUGAAAUAUUUGACCCAGCAUAGCUGCAGGGUGGGAUGCUGUAUUUUCAGGAGUGAAAACGUCACCCAUCACUUUUCUAGAUAAGGAGUGAUUAAAAUGCAUAUGAUUUGCAUAAUAUUAUUGUUUAGACACAUGUACUGUAUAUUGAGUAGGUGUGCAUUUUAGUGUUUUUUUUUUAUUUUUUUUUUACCUCUCCCCUUCAGUGUGUUCUAUGGUGGAGACCACUUUGCCAAUUUAUCUAAAAAUAAACGUGAUGAUGGCACAGCUCCUACUAAUUAACUUAAAAAUAUUUAACAUUUAAGGUCGACACAUAAAGAUGAAUUGUUAGACGGUGUGUUCAACAAGAUGGAAUGUUCCACACUAAAUUAGUGAUAGAUUUGUUACUGUAUUGUUGUCCACAUUUAAGAAAUGAUGCAAACUUCUGUACAGAAUUUCUUUACACUUCAUUAGAUUAAUAUUAACAGAUUUCAGACUCAAAAUUUAAAGCAUUUUAAAUGAUGAUAAUAUUUUGUUUUGCCAUUAUUGUUCAUUUUAAGGGACAUUUCACCCAACUAUUAAAAUGAUGUCAUCAUUUACUCACCCUCAUGUUGUUCCAAACCUGUGUGACUGACUUUCUGCAGAACACAAAAUAAGGUUUUGAAGCUUUGUAUUAACAUGAGGAUGAGCAAAUGAUGACAAUUUUCAUUCUUGGACUAUCCCUUUAAUUAGAAAACUGUAAGAAAUUAGUAUGGCCAUGUUGAAGUCUUCUUAAGGAUAGUAUGAAAAAGGUACAAGCCCACAUUCCUUGCAUAAAAUGUGAAACAUCCUCAGUUUUGACAAAGCAUUUUUAUCCUUUCCAUCACAUUGUAAAAAUAUAAUGGCACACUUUGUAUAUUAUGCAACUUCAAAUAUUAAAGGAAACAAUCUACAUGACUUUUGAAAAUGUGUUUUCUUUUCUAACCAUUUAUAUUAGGGGGGAAAAAGUCAAUUAUUCAAUCUUUAGAAAAAUCAUUGAUUUAAUCUGGUUUCAUU